GGCGUCUUAGCAAAGUGGUUACUGCGACAGAUUCGAAUAAUACGACUAUCUGUUCCUCUUCGAGGGCGCAGGUUCGAAUCCUGCAGGCGUCG
rnacentral:tRNA from 1 species